rnacentral:rRNA from 1 species
GGUGUCCGGUGCGUUCUCGACGGCCCUUGAAAACCCGCGGGAGACAAUGAUUUUCGUGUCCGGUCGUACUCAUAACCGCAGCAGGUCUCCGAGGUGAGCAGCCUCUGGUUGAUAGAACAAUGUAGGUAAGGGAAGUCGGCUAAAUAGAUCCGUAACUUCGGGAAAAGGAUUGCCUCUAAGCGUUGGGUCUCUCGGGCUGAGAC